UAUAACUGAGCACUUUUCCAGCCCUCUCAGAGCAUCAGCGUUCACAGCCGUCCGAUCGUCAAUUUCAAGCAUUUUCAGCCGUCAGAUUAGGUGGGAAUCGCACGUAAUCUCGGUUCUUUUGCUAAUACCGAUCGCACACCGUGUGGGCCGCUGCUCCGUCAGCAUUUUUGGACGUUCCGCAUUAAAUUGGGCCCAAUGGGCCAACUCUCCUCUCCCCACCCGAACCGGAUCGAGACGUCGUCUCGCACAACCCCCUCCUCUCCCCGACCUCUGUGCUCUUUCUCCCAAUCUAGGCAGCUGGGCGUAUCCUUCCCAGCAGCGCCGCCGACCACGACAUCGACCUCGACCAGCGGCCCCCUCGCUCUUUCUCGAUCUCUAGUGCCAGCGCGCAUAGCGAAACGACAUCACACUCUCUGUUGAUUUACCUACCACGACGAUGUGCUCGGAGCCGUCCUUUCAAGGUGGAACGCAACUGCUGCUGUUGUCAACUCCCGAUCCCGAUCGAAGCUCGCCCAAUCCCGAUCGAGGUCCACCCGCCCAAUCCAGCGACCAGAGGAGAGGAGCAGCCGGUGCUGUCGAGGCCCCGAGGGGAUUUAGCAGACGCCAACCGCGCGUGGGAUCCAGGAUCGAGGGAGCCGACGCGACGCGCGCGAGGGAACCGGCGGUCCAGGGGAACCAGCCAAGGCAAGGCGCCCCGGCCGGUCGAUGCGCUGCGGUUCGUCACCUGGCUACGGGGCAUGCUUCACCAUGCCGCCUUCUGGGAGAGAGAGGCUGCUGCCGGGCGCCGGCGCUGGCGUGCAGGACGGAGUCGCCGCUCCAAGCGCCAGUUGUUGUUCGCGUCGUCGGGAGCGCGUUCGCAGCGGGCCGUGCCAGCCGUCUCUCACCAAUGCUGUGCCUGAGGGCUUUGCUGGUUGGGUCGCCAGUGGAGGACGAGGCCAUGCUUGCUCCGCUCUUUCAGAUCUAGGAGUGUAACAGAGUGCUGCGGUGGAUCUAAAGUCCGUGAACACCCCAACCCGUGAUCUGUUUAUACGAUGGAUCUAAAGUCCUCCGACAUGCUGCUGCCCGGUCCAGGAAGGUAUGUGAACUUUGAGCAGACAAUGUUGGUUCGUUCUCGGUGGAGGUACAGUGGGUCACUAGAUAGUGGAUACUGGAUACAAUAGCAGCAGGUGGAUGUGUACGUAAUUGUACUUAUCCUGUGCUUUCUUGUGAUUGUAAACCUAAUCACAUUCUAGAUUGAUUGAUUCAUAUUGCCUUUCAUAAUUAGAAUAACGGGUGUUGUUUAUGAUGGUAUGCAUUAUCUUCCCUCCAGUUCUAGCUGCUCAACUUGCAUAUUUUACAACAAGCCCAAAAGACACACACUAUUUUAUGGAUAUUUACAUUAGCUUUUCAUCCUUUAGUGGUGAAAACAGUUUCCCAAAUUUUCUUUCCUUGUUCAUUCUUAUAUUAAUUUUUUUGUAAUGAUUUUCAUGACAAUCCACACACACACACACACAGAGAUGGAAUAUUUAUUGAUAUGAUUUUUUGGUGGAAACAAACCGGAGGAAGUGAUGCACAACUCAGAAAAAGGGCCACCUUAAGUGCUCAACUGCCAUGUCUAGCGGGAUAUGGAGAGGGACACGAAGAUUAUAUGCGUACCGAUGGUUGCGGGUUGAUGAAUACGGACCUGCUGAUGCAGUGAUCACUUCUGACAUUACCAGUUCCUGCACUCCUGGACUCCUCCUUUACCAACGACCCACAUGCAAAAUAACGUAAGCUGUCAGGCUCCAACUUGAUAAUCUAGAUGACAUGGUCACUAUACUGAGAACUGUUUUCCUUCAAAUGUAGAAAAAAAUGUUGCUCAAUCUGCUAUUUACAGAAAAAUGAGUAGCUGGCACUUGCUUCUAUUAAAUAGACAGUCAAUUUGUAGUAUGCAUCAGUACAACAAAAAGCCUUUUAGGUUGCCUGCCAGUUUAAAUUAUUUCUAUAAUGGUAAAUAGACAGUCAAUUUGUAGUAUGCAUCAGUACCACAAAAAGCCUUUUAGGUUGCCUGUCAGUUUGUAUUAUCUCUAUAAUGGUGAUUGGAUAUUGUGGGCUCUGCCUGUCAUUUUAGCAUGCUACAGAUUUCUACCUAAGGUGAUUAUCAGCUUGAAUUUGAGCAGAAGGCUAAAGCUGUUCUUGGAACUUACAACAGGGUUGUAUUUCCAAAUGAAAAAAGAUGACAAAGCUCUAUUUUUUUAGAAUGUUACCUUUUACUAUGCCUGGUCAGAAACAAGCGAAUCCUCUCGAGUUUGUCGAGUUGUUUGCAGUGAUCACCUGCCAUUUUUUAUUUGUAUAAUGUUUGAAGUUUGCAUGAAUGGAUUCAAUGAAAUUAUAGGUGCCAUACUACUUUGGUCGUGAUUAUGCUUCCAGAUAUUUAUAGAAAUCACUAUCAUUCUUUUCAAAAUAGGACGGGCGCGACAACGCGCGCCAUCCAUGAUCUAGUGACUACUAAUAGCAAGACUUCUUCCAUGUCUUCAAGAACAAAAGUAACUACUCACAAAGUAUAAAUAUGUUCAUAACCAGAGGGGUAUUAAUAUGCAUAUAUGAUCUGAACAUAUGCUCUUCUACCAAUUAA